rnacentral:lncRNA from 1 species
UCAACUUUUCUUUCUCCCCCCUAAUAUUCCGCCAACGCAUUUCCGGCAAACUUCUCUCCCUUUCUUUCCGUGGCACUUAAGAAUUGGCACAGGUAGCCAUAGUGGGAUUUCGAGAACUGACACUGGUAGUCAGUAUUGUGGGUAAAGAAUUGGCACAAGUAGCCAUAUUGUGGGAUUUCGAGAACUGACACUGGUAGUCAGUAUUGUGGGUAAAGAAUUGGCACAAGUAGCCAUAUUGUGGGAUUUCGAGAACUGACACUGGUAGUCAGUAUUGUGGGUAAAGAAUUGGCACAAGUAGCCAUAUUGUGGGAUUUCGAGAACUGACACUGGUAGUCAGUAUUGUGGGAAGAGAAUUGGCACGGGUAGCCAUAUUGUGGGUAAUUUCGAGAAUUGGCACUCGUAGCCAUAUUGUGGUGGGUGUACUCGAGAUCGGUUCUUAUAGUGCAGUAAGAAUUCGAUAACAGAGAUUUGGGCUGUUUUAUCCUGGAGACGGCGUGGUUGAUAGUCUGCUUGCACAUUUUGGGCAGUGUCGCGAAACGUCUUAAAGAGAGCGACCUGGUCGUGACUCAGCUAGUAAGUAUUAUUUCGUGCCAUUUAGAAUUGCUGCAAGUUACAGUAACAACAAUCUAUGAAUUAAUCUAGAAGAAACAUCAUUUAUAACCCCAAACCAAAAAUAAUAAGACGUUCUAUUUCUUCCAUCAUGUCCACUAUUGGUGCAUCUAGUGUUGUUGCUCUUAACAUGAACAUACCAUUUCGUUUUAUUGUAAAUCAUUUCAAAGGAUGAAAAUUGAAAAUGAUUUAUUAUAAAUAAAAAUAUGAAAUAAAAGUCGAAAAUAUUUUUGAAAAUCAAACAUUCCAAAAUGUUGUUGAUCAUCUUAUUUUGCCCUCGGUAGAGUGUUUAUACAGAAAAGGAAAAGAAGAUAAAUAGUCGGUGAUGUUUGAUAGAUGUCAUAAAUUUUAGCAUUUGUAUUUCUAGAAUGUUAUGAAUGAAGUAUAAUGAAUGCUCAAGUUUUAUUUUUAUGGUUAUCAUAGUUGACUGAUAUUGUUCCAUCCCGAUCCAAAAAGUCACGUCAUGGCCGGACUAAAACGUUAGGCUUCGGCUAGGUACCAGACAAGAUGAGUUCUCUCCAAGCAGCUUUUAGUCUAUGUCUAUCAACCGGACAAUUCAGAUAAUGUAUGUCGCUGACCAGACAAGAUUCAAAUAAAAUUACAUGGGACAAUUACCUUUGUCAUUCGUCGAUCAUUUCGCUUAUACAAAAUUGUCAUGCCACCUAAACAAUACAGACCUCUGCCACAUGCCAC